UUAACUUAUUUGCUUGUUUACUCAGAGAUAUCACAGAGAUGCAGAAGAGUUUCGUACCUCCGGCGGGCGGCCCCACACCCCGGAGGGGUGGGUCCACGGCCCGGGGCCCGGAAGACCGGGCCCGCGAGCGCUCCCGCCGAAGCAACGCUGAUGGAUAGGUUCGCGAUGGUUAUAAGCAGCCUUUCGGCGCUUCUUGUAAUGAUCCCUCCGCUGGUUCACCAACGGAGA
rnacentral:misc_RNA from 1 species